AUAAUACAGUGAUUCAACACUUCCAUACAAUACCUGGUGCUCAUCACAAUAAGUGCACUCCUUAAUCUCUAUCACCUACUUAACCCAUGCCCCCCAUCAACCUCCCCUCUGGUAACCAUCAGCUUAUUUUCUAUAGUUAAGAGUCUGUUUUUUUGUUUCCCUCU